rnacentral:rRNA from 1 species
GACGAACGCUGGCGGCGUGCCUAAUACAUGCAAGUUGAGCGCUGAAUGUUGGUACUUGUACCAACUGGAUGAGCAUCUAACGGGGGAGUAACGCGUGGGGUAUCGGCUUUGUAACGGGGGCCAAAAUGUGGAAACGAAUGCGAAUACCGCAUAAAAACUUUAAAAACAAAUUUUAAGUGUAAAAUAUGCAAUUGCAACACUCAAAGCUGAUCCCUCGUUUUAUUAGCUAGUUGGUGAGGUAUAGGCUCACCAAGGCGAUGAUACAUAGCCGACCUGAGAGGGAGAUCGGCCACAUUGAGAGUGAGACAGGGCCCACACUCCUAGGGGAGGAAGCAGUAGGGAAUCUUACGGGAGGGAGGAGAGUGUGACAGAGCACCGCCGCGUGAGUGAAGAAGGAUUUAGGAUCGUAAAACUAUGUCGGUAGACAAGAAGGUUGGUGAGAGUGGAAGGCUCAUCAAGUGACGGUAACUAACCAGAAAGGGACGGCUAACUACGUG